CGAUGGCGACCGGCGCACGGGUGAGUAACGCGUAUGCAACCUGCCCGAUACCGGGGUAUAGCCCAUGGAAACGUGGAUUAACACCCCAUAGUACUUUUAUCCUGCCUGGGAUGGGAGUUAAAUGUUCAAGGUAUCGGAUGGGCAUGCGUCCUAUUAGUUAGUUGGCGGGGUGACAGCCCACCAAGACGAUGAUAGGUAGGGGUUCUGAGAGGAAGGUCCCCCACAUUGGAACUGAGACACGGUCCAA
rnacentral:rRNA from 1 species